rnacentral:rRNA from 1 species
UACGAAGGGGGCGAACGUUGUUCGGAAUCACUGGGCAUAAAGCGCACGUAGGCGGCUAGGUCCGUCCGAUGUGAAAGCCCCCGGCUCAACCGGGGAAUUGCAUCGGAUACAGCCUGGCUUGAGGACGGUUGGGGUGAGUGGAACUCCUGGUGGAGCGGUGAAAUGCGUAGAUAUCAGGAGGAACACCGGUGGCGAAAGCGGCUCACUGGACCGUUGCUGACGCUGAGGUGCGAAAGCUAGGGGAGCAAACGGG